rnacentral:lncRNA from 1 species
UUCAUCCAAGAGAUAAGUUUAAGAGGGUGGUAGGUGUAGAGAUGACCGCAAGCCAACCAUGACAACUAAUGGACUGUUUGGCGAAGAUUUGUUUUUUCAAAAUAAUGGGUGAAGAUAAGGUGAGGAGUACUUAUUAUUAACUUCACCUAGAGAUAAAGCUAAGGAUAACCAUAAGAUAAGAGGGUGCGUGAGAAAAAGAUAUGGGUAUUGGAAUGGAUAUUGGUUAUAAUUAAAUGAGAAAAGAGAUUAAUGGUGUCAACCUGGAAACAUAGACAUAGUUUACUAAUUGGGCUUUGUAUGGGCUAAUGGGUUGGAUUUCUUAUGUGGAUUGGAUGUAUGCUUGGGUUGGCUAUGGCUUGGGCUUCGAUUCCCUAUGGGUUGAACUUGGGUUGUGUAUGGGUUGACAUUCGUGGGCUACAUAGCUUGGGCUUGGGUUCGGUAAGGGCAGGGAUCGAGCAGAAAAGAGGCCAGGGCCAGCUUAAAUCCCAGCUCACAGAACAGGCCCGCCGUCCAAAAAGCUUAAAUUUUAGACUUUGCCAUGGCGCUGGACCAAGGGAGGAAUAGUUAUUCCAGUCAUAUCAGCUCCAUGCUAGAAUAACUAUUUCAAAGAAAGUUGAAAUAACUUUAUUUCUUACAAAGCAAGCCCUCUUUUGUCUUCUCCCCCUCUUUUUCUACAACUAAUUCAUUUAAAUAAUUCUUAGCCUAGAAUUAUUUCUCUCAUGAAUUUGGGGUAAAAAACCAACUAGCAGUGAAAAGAAUAACCUUUUUUAUUCUACCUCAUCUUAUUCACAGAAUGCAUCUCAAUAAAAUAUCUCCAAAAUCAGAAAACUUCCUGCAGCAGAUAGACAAAAGAUCAUAACAAGACAAUAUAAUAACAGAUAUUCUUCUAGUUCUAUGCUAAGAGGAUCACGGGAACUUUUUUUUUUUUUGGAAAAAAAUAAAAACAUUUUUUUGGAAAAGGAAGGGGAACCAAGUUUAUCAAGUCCAUGCACGAUAGACUGAAACAACCUCAAAGGUAACUAGUUACUCGCUACCUUGCUUAUUUAUUCGCUGAGCACUCUCCAUAAUGCGAUCCACAGACUAACAAUCCAAUGACCCCAUGAAGAAAUAAGCACCAUGCCACGUCAACUCAAAAAAUGGCCGGCAGAACUCAGAGCGCGAGCAUGGAGAAAGCAUUCAGCAUCUCUUCAUUAGCUUGCAGCAUCCCAAAGGACCGGCGAUCGGCAAUGGCCCGCUCGUGGAACAGCCGGAGAGCUCUCUCCCACCUGCUGUCGCUCCGCGUCGACGCAGCGUAGGCGGCGUCGGCGAAGAAGAUGCGGUGAAGACGGAAGAGGAAGAGGCGGAGGGAGAAGGCGAGGUCGGCGCAGGAGGUGGGGAGGCGGGUCGCGAAGGGGAGUUUGAGGGCGAAGGGGCCGAGGAGGGCGGCCAGGAGCUGCCAGUUGCUGUGGCCGCCGGCCAGCAGCUUCAGCUUGCCCAUCGCCACCACAUGCACUGCCAUGGAAUUAAUCGAUCGAGGGGGCCUUCCUCCCUCGAUGGAGAUGAGUAUGGAAGUGCGUGGGGUGGGAAGGGGGACCCUAAUGGCCGUGCAGCAAGUAGGGUGGGAAUGAGG